rnacentral:rRNA from 1 species
AACGAACGCUGGCGGCAUGCUUAACACAUGCAAGUCGAACGAUCUUUGCAGAAGCUUGCUUUUGUAAAGAGAGUGGCAGACGGGUGAGUAACACGUGGGAAUCUACCCAUCAGUACGGAAUAACACUUGGAAACAAAUGCUAAUACCGUAUAUUCUCUUCGGAGGAAAGAUUUAUCGCUGAUGGAUGAGCCCGCGUCGGAUUAGGUAGUUGGUAGGGUAAUGGCCUACCAAGCCUACGAUCCGUAGCUGGUCUGAGAGGAUGAUCAGCCACACUGGGACUGAGACACGGCCCAG